rnacentral:tRNA from 1 species
GGUGGCUCAGUGGUAGAGUGCUUGCCUUGCAAGCAUGAGGACCUGGGUUCGAUUCUUCAGCACCA